rnacentral:misc_RNA from 1 species
GAUGAAGAACGUAGCGAAAUGCGAUAAGUAGUGUGAAUUGCAGAAUUCAGUGAAUCAUCGAAUCUUUGAACGCACAUUGCGCCCUUUGGUAUUCCAAAGGGCAUGCCUGUUCGAGCGUCAUUUGUACCCUCAAGCUUUGCUUGGUGUUGGGCGUCUUGUCUCUAGCUUUGCUGGAGACUCGCCUUAAAGUAAUUGGCAGCCGGCCUACUGGUUUCGGAGCGCAGCACAAGUCGCACUCUCUAUCAGCAAAGGUCUAGCAUCCAUUAAGCCUUUUUUUCAACUUUUGACCUCGGCUCAGGUAGGGAUACCCGCUGAACUUAAGCAUAUCAAUAAGCGGAGGA